AAGCAGAGCUUAACCCUUGUACCUUUUGCAUCAUGAUUUAGCCAGUACCAAUCAAGCAAAGAGACCUUUAGUUUGAUGCCCCGAAACUAAGUGAGCUACUCCAAGACAGCCCAUGUAGGGCGAACCCGUCUCUGUGGCAAAAGAGUGGGAAGAGCUUUGAGUAGAGGUGACAGACCUAUCGAACUUAGUUAUAGCUGGUUGCUUGAGAACUGAAUAUAAGUUCAGCCCCCCGGCUUCUACAUUCACUGACAUCAUAGUACAUGAUCUGCUAUGAUAACUAAGAAACCGAGGGAGUUAGUCAAAGGGGGAACAGCCCCUUUGAAUGAAGACACAACUUUCCCAGGAGGGUAAGGACCAUAGCAACUAAGGUUAAAUGUUCUGGUGGGCCUAAAAGCAGCCAUCCAAAUAGAAAGCGUUAAAGCUCAGACAUAUCCUUUUCCUUUAAUCCCGACAACCCAAUCCAACCCCCCUAAUCUUAUCAAGCCGCCCCAUGCAACCAUGGAGGUGACCAUGCUAAUAUGAGUAAUAAGAGAGCACUACCCCUCUCUCCCUGCACGUGUGUAAAUCGGAACGGACCCGCCGCCGAAGAUUAACGGUCCCAAAAGAAGAGGGUACUGAGUAAAUACCACAAUCAACAAGAAAUCCACCCAACCAACAACCGUUAACCCCACACAGGAGUGCUAGCUGGGAAAGACCAAAAGAAAAAGAAGGAACUCGGCAAACUACUUAAGCCUCGCCUGUUUACCAAAAACAUCGCCUCUUGCAAAAUCAAAAAUAAGAGGUCCUGCCUGCCCAGUGCGAAACCCCUCUCAACGGCCGCGGUAUUUUGACCGUGGUAAGGUAGCGUAAUCAUUUGUCUUUUAAAUGAAGACCUGUAUGAACGGCUCCACGAAGGCUUAACUGUCUCCUUUUUCAAGUCAAUGAAAUUGAUCUCCCCGUGCAAAAGCGGGGAUACACCCAUAAGACGAGAAGACCCUAUGGAGCUUUAGAUGUUACAACAAGCAUUAUGUGCUAUUCCCAAACAAAGGGGAUAACCACUAGCCCCUGCCCAAACAUCUUCGGUUGGGGUGACCAUGGGAAACAAGAAACUCCCACGUCUCUGUAUUGGAAUCUCCUUAUUUAAACCCAAACAAACUUCUUCAAACGAGAGCCACCACUUUAGUUCAACAGAAUUUCUGACCACCGAUCCGGCAACGCCGAUUAACGAACCAAGUUACCCUAGGGAUAACAGCGCAAUCCCCUUUCAGAGCCCAUAUCGAUAAGGGGGCUUACGACCUCGAUGUUGGAUCAGGACAUCCUAAUGGUGC
rnacentral:rRNA from 1 species